rnacentral:rRNA from 1 species
UUGAACGCUGGCGGCAGGCCUAACACAUGCAAGUCGAGCGGUAGCACAGAGAGCUUGCUCUCGGGUGACGAGCGGCGGACGGGUGAGUAAUGUCUGGGAAACUGCCUGAUGGAGGGGGAUAACUACUGGAAACGGUAGCUAAUACCGCAUAAUGUCGCAAGACCAAAGUGGGGGACCUUCGGGCCUCAUGCCAUCAGAUGUGCCCAGAUGGGAUUAGCUAGUAGGUGGGGUAACGGCUCACCUAGGCGACGAUCCCUAGCUGGUCUGAGAGGAUGACCAGCCACACUGGAACUGAGACACGGUCCAGACUCCUACGGGAGGCAGCAGUGGGGAAUAUUGCACAAUGGGCGCAAGCCUGAUGCAGCCAUGCCGCGUGUGUGAAGAAGGCCUUCGGGUUGUAAAGCACUUUCAGCGGGGAGGAAGGCGUUAAGGUUAAUAACCUUGGCGAUUGACGUUACCCGCAGAAGAAGCACCGGCUAACUCCGUGCCAGCAGCCGCGGUAAUACGGAGGGUGCAAGCGUUAAUCGGAAUUACUGGGCGUAAAGCGCACGCAGGCGGUCUGUCAAGUCGGAUGUGAAAUCCCCGGGCUCAACCUGGGAACUGCAUUCGAAACUGGCAGGCUAGAGUCUUGUAGAGGGGGGUAGAAUUCCAGGUGUAGCGGUGAAAUGCGUAGAGAUCUGGAGGAAUACCGGUGGCGAAGGCGGCCCCCUGGACAAAGACUGACGCUCAGGUGCGAAAGCGUGGGGAGCAAACAGGAUUAGAUACCCUGGUAGUCCACGCCGUAAACGAUGUCGAUUUGGAGGUUGUGCCCUUGAGGCGUGGCUUCCGGAGCUAACGCGUUAAAUCGACCGCCUGGGGAGUACGGCCGCAAGGUUAAAACUCAAAUGAAUUGACGGGGGCCCGCACAAGCGGUGGAGCAUGUGGUUUAAUUCGAUGCAACGCGAAGAACCUUACCUGGUCUUGACAUCCACAGAACUUUCCAGAGAUGGAUUGGUGCCUUCGGGAACUGUGAGACAGGUGCUGCAUGGCUGUCGUCAGCUCGUGUUGUGAAAUGUUGGGUUAAGUCUCGCAACGAGCGCAACCCUUAUCCUUUGUUGCCAGCGGUUCGGCCGGGAACUCAAAGGAGACUGCCAGUGAUAAACUGGAGGAAGGUGGGGAUGACGUCAAGUCAUCAUGGCCCUUACGACCAGGGCUACACACGUGCUACAAUGGCAUAUACAAAGAGAAGCGACCUCGCGAGAGCAAGCGGACCUCAUAAAGUAUGUCGUAGUCCGGAUUGGAGUCUGCAACUCGACUCCAUGAAGUCGGAAUCGCUAGUAAUCGUAGAUCAGAAUGCUACGGUGAAUACGUUCCCGGGCCUUGUACACACCGCCCGUCACACCAUGGGAGUGGGUUGCAAAAGAAGUAGGUAGCUUAACCUUCGGGAGGGCGCUUACCACUUUGUGAUUCAUGACUGGGGUG